CCGGCGGUGUGCCUAAUACAUGCAAGUCGUACGCACUGGCCCAACUGAUUGAUGGUGCUUGCACCUGAUUGACGAUGGAUCACCAGUGAGUGGCGGACGGGUGAGUAACACGUAGGUAACCUGCCCCGGAGCGGGGGAUAACAUUUGGAAACAGAUGCUAAUACCGCAUAACAACAAAAGCCACAUGGCUUUUGUUUGAAAGAUGGCUUUGGCUAUCACUCUGGGAUGGACCUGCGGUGCAUUAGCUAGUUGGUAAGGUAACGGCUUACCAAGGCGAUGAUGCAUAGCCGAGUUGAGAGACUGAUCGGCCACAAUGGAACUGAGACACGGUCCAUACUCCUACGGGAGGCAGCAGUAGGGAAUCUUCCACAAUGGGCGCAAGCCUGAUGGAGCAACACCGCGUGAGUGAAGAAGGGUUUCGGCUCGUAAAGCUCUGUUGUUGGAGAAGAACGUGCGUGAGAGUAACUGUUCACGCAGUGACGGUAUCCAACCAGAAAGUCACGGCUAACUACGUGCCAGCAGCCGCGGUAAUACG
rnacentral:rRNA from 1 species